rnacentral:lncRNA from 1 species
AGUGGCAGGGGAGCUGGGGGCUCCCCGGCGGAAGUAGCGCGAGAGGCUGGACAGCAGCGUGCUCUACAAGAAAAAAAGUGGCUUGAGUCAAGAAAUGAAGGUGGAGCUUGGGAAGCUAGCGUGAGGUAUUCCAGGACCUCAUGGCAUAGGACGCUUACCUGUCCAAUAGAACGGAAUGUUUCAUUCAAUCCAGUGACUUGAGCAAGCGCCUCUCUCCUGAAUCUACUGUUUCUCAAGAAUAAUGAGUUUUGAUGCAGCUAGUUAGCAAAAGGCAGGAACACAAAAGCAACUGAACCUUCCAGGUGCUUAAUAUUUAAAGAUCCUUAAUACUUGCAGCAGCAUUAGAAAGAGAAUUAGUGUAAAACUCCCAGGUAUUGAACCAGGACUAAGCACUCUUAUUCCCAGUGAACUGUCACAACAAACCUCUGGGAUAAGAGCUAUUAUUACUCCCAUUUUAUAGACCAGAACAAUGAAACUACUCCCAGAGGCAG